UUGCUCCCCAAAAUGUUUCUCAGAUGCAUGGCAGCAUCAUCGUCUUCUGCAUGAACGUGCUGCUAGUGCUGUGAAUACAAAUGGAAAUGAGGAAAAUACAGGAUCUGGUGUUAAUACAAGCUUGACUUCUUCGCAAUCAAGCGGUAGCUUGACAAAUGGAACAACACCUUUUCCUGUAGUUGUAACUCAAAGAAGUGGUGGUGAAA
rnacentral:misc_RNA from 1 species